rnacentral:rRNA from 1 species
CCAAUAGCGUAUAUUAAAGUUGUUGCAGUUAAAAAGCUCGUAGUUGAAUUUCGGGGUCAGUAGGUUGGUCGUGCCACCGGUACGUACUGGUCUCACUGAUUCCUCCUUCCUGAAGAACCGUAAUGCCAUUAAUUUGGUGUUGCGGGGAAACAGGACUGUUACUUUGAAAAAAUUAGAGUGUUUAAAGCAGGCUAACGCUUGAAUACAUUAGCAUGGAAUAAUGAAAUAGGACGAUCGAUCCUAUUUUGUUGGUUUCUAGGAUUGACGUAAUGAUUAAUAGGGAUAGUUGGGGGCAUUAGUAUUCAAUUGUCAGAGGUGAAAUUCUUGGAUUUAUUGAAGACUAACUACUGCGAAAGCAUUUGCCAAGGAUGUUUUCAUUAAUCAAGAACGAAAGUUGGGGGCUCGAAGACGAUCAGAUACCGUCCUAGUCUCAACCAUAAACGAUGCCGACCAGGGAUCGGCGGAUGUUGCUUUUAGGACUCCGCCGGCACCUUAUG